rnacentral:rRNA from 1 species
UACGAAGGGGGCUAGCGUUGUUCGGAAUUACUGGGCGUAAAGCGCGCGAAGGCGGUCUUCCAAGUCAGUGGUGAAAGCCCGGAGCUCAACUCCGGAACUGCCAUUGAAACUGUUAGACUUGAGGACGAGAGAGGUGAGUGGAAUUCCCAGUGUAGAGGUGAAAUUCGUAGAUAUUGGGAAGAACACCGGUGGCGAAGGCGGCUCACUGGCUCGUUUCUGACGCUCAGGCGCGACAGCGUGGGGAUCAAACAGG